CGGAUGCUCGGAUUGAAGUUCUGCAAGUUCGAGCGGACAUUACAGUGUAUGAGUGUACGUACUACGAGACGACGGGACCCGCGAGGCUCGGAUGCAUCAUGACCAGCCGCAGGUACAACUGCGGCUGCCGCAGGUACAACUGCGGCUGCCGCAGGUGUACCUGCGACCAUCCGUCUAUAUAUACAAGCCUUGGGGUCAGCCAUUUGAGAAGAAGAGGGAGGGAAAAAGGCGAGGAAGUCCUGUCCAUUUUACUUUGCAUACACAUCUUUCGAGUAUUUCCUCACUUCUAAACACUAGUUAGCUCACAUAUAGCUAUCUUUUAUCCGGCGGGAGCUGAGUGUUUAUCCAUUUAAAGUCAUAGAAGUCUACUUUCGCAGCCCAUUGUAAGCCUUCUUAUAUUUUAUAAAGCCUUCUACUCAUAUUAACACACACUGUUGUACACGUUGAGAGUCGUGUGAGUGUGUUUGCCCGGAC
rnacentral:lncRNA from 1 species